rnacentral:rRNA from 1 species
UCCGUAGGUUACCUGCGGAGGGAUCAUUACACAAAUAUGAAGGCGGGCUGGAAUCUCUCGGGGUUACAGCCUUGCUGAAUUAUUCACCCUUGUCUUUUGCGUACUUCUUGUUUCCUUGGUGGGUUCGCCCACCACUAGGACAAACAUAAACCUUUUGUAAUUGCAAUCAGCGUCAGUAACAAAUUAAUAAUUACAACUUUCAACAACGGAUCUCUUGGUUCUGGCAUCGAUGAAGAACGCAGCGAAAUGCGAUAAGUAGUGUGAAUUGCAGAAUUCAGUGAAUCAUCGAAUCUUUGAACGCACAUUGCGCCCUUUGGUAUUCCAAAGGGCAUGCCUGUUCGAGCGUCAUUUGUACCCUCAAGCUUUGCUUGGUGUUGGGCGUCUUGUCUCUAGCUUUGCUGGAGACUCGCCUUAAAGUAAUUGGCAGCCGGCCUACUGGUUUCGGAGCGCAGCACAAGUCGCACUCUCUAUCAGCAAAGGUCUAGCAUCCAUUAAGCCUUUUUUCAACUUUGACCUCGGAUCAGGU